rnacentral:lncRNA from 1 species
GGGCAUAGGUUGGAAGGGGUGGGCCGGGUCUCUCUAGCCUCCGCGGUACUACGCAGCUUCAUGGUUUUAACUCUUGGUGGUCUUUUGACCGUCCUCAGUCCUUACCGUGCGGAGUUUUGGAUACAUUCUUAGCAGCUUUUUCGCUCCGGAGAAGUUCUUUAUCUUUCUGAGCCGCAGUUUGCCCAACUGCAAAAUGGAAAGAGAUGAAGCAGGAAUUAAGAUACUCUAGGAGCUCGCCCACAGCUGAUUCAGGGCCCCAUUCUGAGGUUACACCCUUAAGCCUUUGCACCACUCAAAGGAAGGAAACCAAGAGAGAGGGGUGGCUGGCUGCUGUUUGGAGACAGUGGUCCUUGUAUUGGCGCCCCGCGGAAUCACUCCAGAUGAGUCAGUGGAUACAGUCUAUAGGUCCCGCCUCAUUCUGGCAUAUCCGAAUGGGCUGAGCUACCGGAUUAAGAGGGACACCCCAAAGCCCCCAUUGCUGGGUUAUUGCUCCAGAGCCAAUGUUCUUGGGGAAAGGAAGAUAUGCCCUUUGUCAACAUUGCCACUGCUGGUCUGUAAACUCCUAGACGGCCAGCUGGUGGUUCACAAACCAGGACUCCUUGCUCUGGCCCUACCCCUACCUACCAGAAUGACCGUGAACCCUUCCCCACUCACUCCUACAACCAGGUUUCCAUCUCCUCUCUCAGCUUAGGUUUCCCUAACUGUAAAAUAAAAGGGUUGGACUAGGUUAAGGACUUCCUGCUAUUUCUCUCUCCCACACUCUAAGGUUCCUUAGGAAUGCUUCAGAAAACAGCAGGGGUUGGGGCAAGGAUGCCGCUUGAGUCCCAGAGCAACUCCAAUUUCAUAGGCACAUAAAUUUAUGUGAAAGUA